AGUGAACGCUGGCGGUAGGCCUAACACAUGCAAGUCGAACGGCAGCACAGUAAGAGUUUGCUCUUACGGGUGGCGAGUGGCGGACGGGUGAGGAAUACAUCGGAAUCUACUUUUUCGUGGGGGAUAACGUAGGGAAACUUACGCUAAUACCGCAUACUACCUACGGGUGAAAGCAGGGGAUCUUCGGACCUUGCGCGAUUGAAUGAGCCGAUGUCGGAUUAGCUAGUUGGCGGGGUAAAGGCCCACCAAGGCGACGAUCCGUAGCUGGUCUGAGAGGAUGAUCAGCCACACUGGAACUGAGACACGGUCCAGACUCCUACGGGAGGCAGCAGUGGGGAAUAUUGGACAAUGGGCGCAAGCCUGAUCCAGCCAUACCGCGUGGGUGAAGAAGGCCUUCGGGUUGUAAAGCCCUUUUGUUGGGGAAGAAGAGCAGCAGGUUAAUACCCCGCUGUUCUGACGGUACCCAAAGAAUAAGCACCGGCUAACUUCGUG
rnacentral:rRNA from 1 species